UCCUAGCUAGAUUUAUUUAUCUCCCCCGAAAUUCCCUGCAUACUAAAUUUCAUGAAAAUCGUCGGUGCCGUUUCCUAGAUUCAGAUUCUGAAUAUACAAUAAAGACUAAAUGAUUUUAAUAGUAGAAGA